UUAAGCAUAUCAAUAAGCGGAGGAAAAGAAACUAACAAGGAUUCCCCUAGUAACGGCGAGUGAAGCGGGAAGAGCUCAAAUUUGUAAUCUGGCGGCCUGUGGCCGUCCGAGUUGUAGUCUGGAGAAGCGUUUUCUGCGUCGGACCGUGUACAAGUCCCUUGGAACAGGGCGUCACAGAGGGUGAGAAUCCCGUCUUUGACACGGACUGCCGGUGCUUUGUGAUGCGCUCUCGAAGAGUCGAGUUGUUUGGGAAUGCAGCUCAAAACGGGUGGUAAAUUCCAUCUAAAGCUAAAUAUUGGCGAAAGACCGAUAGCGAACAAGUACCGUGAGGGAAAGAUGAAAAGCACUUUGGAAAGAGAGUUAAACAGUACGUGAAAUUGUUGAAAGGGAAACGUUUGAAGUCAGUCGCGUCUCUCGGGACUCAGCCUUGCCUUUCCGCUUGGUGUACUUCCUGGGAUGACGGGCCAGCAUCGAUUUUGACCGUCGGAGAAAGGCCUUGGGAACGUGGCACCUUCGGGUGUGUUAUAGCCCUUGGUCGCAUGCGACGGUUGGGAUCGAGGACCGCAGCACGCCGUUUAUCGGCCGGGGUUCGCCCACGUGUACCGUGCUUAGGAUGCUGGCGUAAUGGCUUUAAGCGACCCGUCUUGA
rnacentral:rRNA from 1 species